GUGAGGAAUUUUCCGCAAUGGGCGAAAGCCUGACGGAGCAAUGCCGCGUGAAGGAUGAAGGCCUAUGGGUUGUAAACUUCUUUUCUCAGAAAAGAAUUAUGACGGUAUCUGAGGAAUAAGCAUCGGCUAACUCUGUGCCAGCAGCCGCGGUAAGACAGAGGAUGCAAGCGUUAUCCGGAAUGAUUGGGCGUAAAGCGUCUGUAGGUUGUUUAAAAAGUAUUCUGUCAAAGAUUAGGGCUUAACCCUAGAUAGGCAGAAUAAACUUUUAAGCUAGAGUUUGGUAGAGGCAGAGGGAAUUCCCGGUGGAGCGGUGAAAGGCGUAGAUAUCGGGAGGAACACCAAAGGCGAAGGCACUCUGCUGGGCCAAUACUAACACUGAGAGACGAAAGCGAGGGGAGCAAAUGGGAUUAGAAACCCGAGUAGUCC
rnacentral:rRNA from 1 species